rnacentral:rRNA from 1 species
GACGAACGCUGGCGGCGUGCUUAACACAUGCAAGUCGAACGGAAAGGCCCUGCUUUUGUGGGGUGCUCGAGUGGCGAACGGGUGAGUAACACGUGAGUAACCUGCCCUUGACUUUGGGAUAACUUCAGGAAACUGGGGCUAAUACCGGAUAGGAGCUCCUGCUGCAGGGUGGGGGUUGGAAAGUUUCGGCGGUUGGGGAUGGACUCGCGGCUUAUCAGCUUGUUGGUGGGGUAGUGGCUUACCAAGGCUUUGACGGGUAGCCGGCCUGAGAGGGUGACCGGCCACAUUGGGACUGAGAUACGGACCAGACUCCUACGGGAGGCAGCAGUGGGGAGUAUUGCACAAUGGGAGGAAGCCUGAUGAAGCAACGCCGCGUGCGGGAUGACGGCCUUCGGGUUGUAAACCGCUUUCGCCUGUGACGAAGCGUGAGUGACGGUAAUGGGUAAAGAAGCACCGGCUAACUACGUG